AACCCAGGAGAAGCCCCAUCCCGCAAUGAGGGCGCGGCAGGCUAAUUUUGCCUACGGCUGAACAGUUGGGGCAAACGGUGGUUAACACGCUGGAUCCCUCUCUAGUGAAGGCCCGACCGUCCCGAUCUUUGGGGUCCGCACCAAUGAUCCCAUGAAAAACAAAGGACGGUGUGGACCUGCGCCCCUCUUCCCCGUAGCGACCGUGUUGGAGAAACUCGCUCGGAGGACCAGUGUGCUGCGGGGGCCAAAACUCACGCUGCCCAGCCUUGAAGAGCUGGAGAACGGAGCCGGGCCCCGCCGAACCUGCGCUCGCAGAGAAUGUUAUCUUCACAGCAACUUAGCAAGCCCCACAGAACAAAAGUUAAAGCGUGAUUGCACUAUACCUUGCCCCGGGUUACUCAGGCGCCUGUCUCCCAUUUUGGACAUGCAGGAAAUGUUGGAUUUGGGGAGGUUUGAUUUGGCUGGGUUUGGUUUGUCUAUAUAAGCCCUGCUGGAGUACUGUACUGAGGAACGCGCCUUGAUGGACUCGGGUGUUAAUUAACGCGCUAAUUUGAGCUUC
rnacentral:lncRNA from 1 species